CCAGUAGUCAUACGCUCGUCUCAAAGAUUAAGCCAUGCAUGUGUAAGUAUAAAUAUUUAACUUUGAAACUGCGAAUGGCUCAUUAUAUCAGUUAUAGUUUAUUUGAUGAAAAGUACUACUUGGAUAACCGUAGUAAUUCUAGAGCUAAUACAUGAUAAAAUCCUCGACUUUGAAGAGGUGUAUUUAUUAGAAUGAAACCAAUAGACUUCGGUCUGUUUGUGAGUAAUAAUAACUAAUCGUAUCGCAUGCUUAGGUAGCGAUAUGUCUUUCAAGUUUCUGCCCUAUCAGCUUUGGAUGGUAGUGUAUUGGACUACCAUGGCAGUAACGGGUAACGAAGAAUUUGGGUUCGAUUUCGGAGAGGGAGCCUGAGAGAUGGCUACCACAUCCAAGGAAGGCAGCAGGCGCGUAAAUUACCCAAUCCUGACAUAGGGAGGUAGUGACAAUAAAUCACAAUGCGGAACUAUUAGUUUUGCAAUUGGAUUGAGAACAAUGUACAAAUGUUAUCGAUAAACAAUUGGAGGGCAAGUC
rnacentral:rRNA from 1 species